rnacentral:sRNA from 1 species
UGGUAAGGAACGUAACCUAAGUUCGCGACGUCCUGUCGCAACGGUUACGUGAUUCGCAUCGUGCGAA